rnacentral:rRNA from 1 species
CCUACGGGUGGCAGCAGUGAGGAAUAUUGGUCAAUGGACGAGAGUCUGAACCAGCCGAGUAGCGUGAAGGAUGACUGCCCUAUGGGUUGUAAACUUCUUUUAUAUGGGAAUAAAAUGUUCCACGUGUGGGAUUUUGUAUGUACCAUAUGAAUAAGGAUCGGCUAACUCCGUGCCAGCAGCCGCGGUAAUACGGAGGAUCCGAGCGUUAUCCGGAUUUAUUGGGUUUAAAGGGAGCGUAGGUGGAUUGUUAAGUCAGUUGUGAAAGUUUGCGGCUCAACCGUAAAAUUGCAGUUGAAACUGGCAGUCUUGAGUACAGGAGAGGUGGGCGGAAUUCGUGGUGUAGCGGUGAAAUGCUUAGAUAUCACGAAGAACUCCGAUUGCGAAGGCAGUUCACUGGACUGCAACUGACACUGAGGCUCGAAAGUGUGGGUAUCAAACAGGAUUAGAUACCCCUGUAGUC